AUCUGACCCUUUGGGGUCCGAGUUGUAAUUUGCAGAGGGUGUUUCGGGCACGGUGCCGGUUUAAGUCCUUUGGAACAGGGUGUCAUAGAGGGUGAGAACCCCGUAUGUGACCGGUCGCCAAACCCAUGUGAAACCCCUUCGACGAGUCGAGUUGUUUGGGAAUGCAGCUCAAAAUGGGUGGUAAAUUUCAUCUAAAGCUAAAUAUUGGCCAGAGACCGAUAGCGCACAAGUAGAGUGAUCGAAAGAUGAAAAGCACUUUGGAAAGAGAGUCAAACAGCACGUGAAAUUGUUGAAAGGGAAGCGCUUGCGACCAGACUUGCUCGCGGGUGAUCAGCGGUGCUUUUCGCGCCGUGCACUCAUCCGCGAUCAGGCCAGCAUCGGUUCAGGCGGCCGGACAAAGACUCGGAGAAUGUAGCUCCCUCCGGGGAGUGUUAUAUCUCCUUGUGCAAUACGACCAGCCGGGACCGAGGACCGCGCUUCGGCUAGGAUGCAGGCGUAAUGGUCGUAAGCGACCCGUCUUGAAACACGGACCAAGGAGUCUAACAUCUGUGCGAGUGUUUGGGCGUUAAACCCAUGCGCGCAAUGAAAGUGAACGUGAGGUGGGAACCCUUUCGGGGGCGCACCAUCGACCGAUCCAGAUGUCUUCGGAUGGAUUUGAGUAAGAGCACAGCUGUUGGGACCCGAAAGAUGGUGAACUAUGCCUGAAUAGGGUGAAGCCAGAGGAAACUCUGGUGGAGGCUCGCAGCGGUUCUGACGUGCAAAUCGAUCGUCAAAUUUGGGUAUAGGGGCGAAAGACUAAUCGA
rnacentral:rRNA from 1 species